AUGACUUUACAUAAGACGUUACAUAAAUUGAUUGGCUUGUACUUUGAUAUAUUUUCUGGGGUGUCCACCUUGGGUAUUAAAAUUAUAAUAGCAUCAUUCCAAUCUUCAGGGAUUGACUUAUCAUAUCGCACUCAGAACUUUAGUUGUAAGGAUCUCUCCACAAACAUUCUAACAUUUUUUGAAGAAAUGGUAUGUAACCCAUCUGUACAUGGGGCUUGUGUAUCGCCAAUGGAGAACAGAGCCUUCUUCACCUCGUCGGCGGAGUCUAGUUUCAGGAUCGGAGCUCAUCAUUCAUGUUCUCGGUCACCCGAGGAACUACCGGAUAGAUAA
rnacentral:rRNA from 1 species